rnacentral:pre_miRNA from 1 species
UGGUCGUAUGUGUGACGCCAUUUACUUGAACCUUUAGGAGUGACAUCACAUAUACGGCAGCU